rnacentral:lncRNA from 1 species
AUGCGACGGCUAGCAGGAUUUUCAGGUGAGAGGGUGAUGUUUUCUAAUCCACGUGUUUGGAGCGAGGGAGCCAGCGUCGGACCUCACCGCUGCUCUUCUGCACAACCGAGUCCGAGCUCCGCGUAUGCUGACGACACUGCACUGGUAGCAGUAACGUACAUCAGUGUCAAUAAGGUGUGUGUGUGUGUGUGUGUGUGUGUGUGUGUGUGUGUGUGUGUGUGUGUCCUAUGUGAGACCAGAACCACAGAGGAGAUGCAUUAAAGUAUUUAGUACUACAAAACAAAGUACUUCCACGUAUAAAUGGUUACAAAGCGUGUUUUUAACGGUUCCAUGCAUCAUGGACCUGCACCGAUGUGAGAAGUAGCUGUUCUCUUUAAACCGAGCACUAACUGGUUAUCUGGAGAGUGGAGUUAGCCACACCCACACCCGGUUACUUCCUGACCCGCGCAGCAACGAUGACUUCAGAGAACCGAGCUGAGAACACGUCCUAGCUAAACGAUCUCAAAAGUAUCUCGUUCUAAAUAAACGAACAUCUAAAACACCGAAGACCUCGCUUACUUCAGGUCAGAGGUCAGAGGUCGGCAGUGAGACGUGGUGAAUAAGAGUGUACCGGUACAUGUUGUCCUACUCCAAGUCCUCUGUACAGGUCCGUGGUGUCCAACCCAGACGAGUUACCGCCUCAGCCAGCAGCGCGUGUCCCACCAGGUCCACAUGGGCCGGUGCUGGUACCACACCAGCCGCUACGUAGACCAAGGGUCCAGCCUUCAGGUUCCUCAGCAACCCUAGCAGAGACAUUGUAAACAGCCUGUGGACACGUUAAUGUCCCCAUGAAGACAUGAAGGUUGACUGAACCGGUGGUUAGGUGGUCAUGGGACCUGUGUUGCUAGUCAGCUGCUACCUUCAGAUGUUCGUAUGUCUCCGUCUCCGUCGUCCUGGUUCCCGGUUCUCCGCAGCAGCGCGCUGACGGUUUCACCGUGAGCAGGACUAAGCAGCCUCCUUCGUCUCCUGACACACCUCUCUCCGUUUUCUUCUCGGGGUUUUGGCGUGUCCCAAACAUCUCCCUCCCCAGAUAAGAGUCCUCUUACUCCGUCCUACCCGGUGUCUCGUUGCCCAUCCUGGGCUGCUUUCGAACGGUGAGCGUCGCCCUCCUGCCGAAGCCGUCACCUUUACCUCUUGGUGUGCCGCCCAGAGUGCACCCGCCCUCUCCGUGAGUCCUUCCCUCAC